rnacentral:rRNA from 1 species
UACGUAGGGGCUAGCGUUGUCCGGAAUCAUUGGGCGUAAAGCGCGUGUAGGCGGUCCGGUAAGUCCGCUGUGAAAGUCGAGGGCUCAACCCUCGAAUGCCGGUGGAUACUGUCGGGCUUGAGUACGGGAGAGGCGAGUGGAAUUCCUGGUGUAGCGGUGAAAUGCGCAGAUAUCAGGAGGAACACCGAUUGCGAAGGCAGCUCGCUGGAACGUUACUGACGCUGAGACGCGAAGCGUGGGAGCAAACAGG